GCAUGCGUAGCCAAGGCAGGUUAACGGCAACUGAGCUUCGGGCUCUGGUCCCUAGGGGUACGCUGGUUCGAAUCCAGCCGCAUGCU
rnacentral:tRNA from 1 species